rnacentral:misc_RNA from 1 species
UCGAAACCUGCACAGCAGAAUGACCAGAGAACACGUUUGUUAUUCACUAUUCUCGACCGUGACGCGUCCUUCCUCCCGAGGGGGGUGUGUCUCGGGCGAUUAACGAACCCCCGGCGCGGAACGCGCCAAGGAAUACCUUAUUGAGAUGGUCGGCCGCCCGUGCCCCGUUACCGCGGAUCGCUCGGGAGGCGUUGGCGUCUUACUUAAUCAAAUACGACUCUCGGCAACGGAUAUCUCGGCUCUCGCAUCGAUGAAGAACGUAGCGAAAUGCGAUACUUGGUGUGAAUUGCAGAAUCCCGUGAACCAUCGAGUCUUUGAACGCAAGUUGCGCCCGAAGCCGUCAGGCCGAGGGCACGUCUGCCUGGGCGUCACGCAUCGCGUCGCCCCCAAUGCUUGGCCCCUGGUCGAGCGCGGGGAGCGGACGAUGGCCUCCCGUGCCCCCUCGGGGCGCGGCUGGCCCAAAUGCGAGUCCUUGGCGACGGACGUCACGGCGAGUGGUGGUCGUACCCAGCGUGUGCAUAUCUUCGCGCCGUGCCCCCGUCGUUCGCGGACGAAUGACCCAAACGAGCCCCGUCAGCGCGGCUCUACGACCGC